rnacentral:rRNA from 1 species
GAUGAACGCUGGCGGCGGGCCUAAUACAUGCAAGUCGAGCGAACGGACGAGAAGCUUGCUUCUCUUAUGUUAGCGGCGGACGGGUGAGUAACACGUGGAUAACCUACCUAGAAGACUGGGAUAACUUCGGGAAACCGGAGCUAAUACCGGAUGAUAUUUUGAACCGCAUGGUUCAAAAGUGAAAGACGGUCUUGCUGUCACUUAUAGAUGGAUCCGCGCUGCAUUAGCUAGUUGGUAAGGUAACGGCUUACCAAGGCAACGAUGCAUAGCCGACCUGAGAGGGUGACAGGCCACACUGGAACUGAGACACGGUCCAGACUCCUACGGGAGGCAGCAGUAGGGAAUCUUCCGCAAUGGGCGAAAGCCUGACGGAGCAACGCCGCGUGAGUGAUGAAGGUCUUCGGAUCGUAAAACUCUGUUAUUAGGGAAGAACAUAUGUGUAAGUAACUGUGCACAUCUUGACGGUACCUAAGCAGAAAGCCACGGCUAACUACGU